UACGUAGGGUGCGAGCGUUAAUCGGAAUUACUGGGCGUAAAGCGUGCGCAGGCGGUUCGUGAUGUCUGGUGUGAAAGCCCCGGGCUUAACCUGGGAAUUGCAUUGGAAACUAGCGGGCUGGAGUGUGGCAGAGGGGGGUGGAAUUCCACGUGUAGCAGUGAAAUGCGUAGAGAUGUGGAGGAACACCGAUGGCGAAGGCGGCAUCCUGGACCAACACUGACACUGAGGAGCGAAAGCCAGGGGAGCAAACGGG
rnacentral:rRNA from 1 species